rnacentral:rRNA from 1 species
GACGAACGCUGGCGGCGUGCUUAACACAUGCAAGUCGACGACGCUACUGAGUAGCAAUAUUAGUAGUGGAGUAGCGCAAGGGUGAGUAAUGUAUACGUAACCAACCCAUCGGAGACGGAUAACAUUUCGAAAGGGAUGCUAAAACGGCAUGAAGCCACGAUUUCGCAUGAGAUUGUGGUUAAAGAACCGGUGACAGGUUGCCGAUGGCUGGGCGUAUAUCCGAUUAGCUAGUUGGUAGUGUAAUGGACUACCAAGGCGACGAUCGGUAGCUGGUCUGAGAGGAUGAUCAGCCACACUGGCACUGAGACACGGGCCAGACUCCUACGGGAGGCAGCAGUGGGGAAUAUUGGGCAAUGCCCGCAAGGGUGACCCAGCAACGCCGCGUGGAGGAUGAAGGCCGUAAGGUUGUAAACUCUGACAAGCAGGGAAGAAUGGCUAUGGUAAAAGGCCAUAGAAUGACGGUACCUGCCUGAAGCCCCGGCCAACUACGUG